CUACGGGAGGCAGCAGUGGGGAAUAUUGCACAAUGGGCGCAAGCCUGAUGCAGCCAUGCCGCGUGUGUGAAGAAGGCCUUCGGGUUGUAAAGCACUUUCAGCGGGGAGGAAGGCGUUAAGGUUAAUAACCUUGGCGAUUGACGUUACCCGCAGAAGAAGCACCGGCUAACUCCGUGCCAGCAGCCGCGGUAAUACGGAGGGUGCAAGCGUUAAUCGGAAUUACUGGGCGUAAAGCGCACGCAGGCGGUCUGUCAA
rnacentral:rRNA from 1 species